GGGUAGAUUGAUGCGCGUUAAGUGCAGCGGAGACGGAAUGUGAGCCGCUGACGAAACAAACAUUCAUUGCUAGCAUUUUUUCGUGUUAGC
rnacentral:ncRNA from 2 species